AGAGAGCCCAAUAAAGUAUUUCGCUUUCGUUUUAGUCGACUACACUGUAAAUAAAACAGAUCUUAACUUCUUAAGCGUUAAAGAUGAACAAAAAGCUAAAGUUGGAAAAGCAUCUUUAUAGAAAACUAAUUAUUGUGAGUCUGCCUUACAACUUACAGCAUCUUUUGCUUCCUCCAUUUUUUUCAUAGCUACGUUGCGUCGGUAUUGAAAGUUUUUUACUUCUUUCUGAGUUGUUCAACGCCUCUCGCACCUGAUACAAGAAUACGCAAGCAAAUACACGAGAUUUGGAUUGAAAAAUGGAAACCUUGUGUUUGAUAGAUAAGAAGCAUCACUUGAUGUUGACAUAUUUCACCGUUGUUGCAUUCAUUUCUAAUCACGCGUACAAAUUUAUGUCAACGAUAACGUGAUAAAAGGAAACUACAUGCAACGACGUGGACUGAUUCCUACAUAGCCAACUAACUGAUCAAAAAUCUGUGCUUUGUGCUCCACCAUAAUGCCAAUAUUAACCAUAGCCAUCCCCUUCUAGGAGAUGUUGGUGCUCUUACAGUUCUAACUCCAUGUAACUAUGGACUAUAUCUGUAUUUUUGAUCAUUUACCAUAAUAUGAUUGCAGUAUGGUACCAAUUCAAACUUUCUCAUGUGUACAAACUGUAAUUAAUUUAAACACAAACAAAAAAGCCUUCUUUGAUAGAACUAAACCAAAGAAAUUUUCCUUGUUCAUUUUCUUUAUAUGAUUUUAGUACAACUACAACAUACCUGAAUUAGUUCUUGUUCAGCAAGUUUUAGUCUGGUAUGAAUUUCAUCAGAAUGCCCUUCACGUGCUUCACGAAGACGUUGAGCUUCUCGCUAAAGGAAGUAGACAAAACAUUAAUAAAAGGAAUUAACUUUUUUUUUA